rnacentral:rRNA from 1 species
GGCGAGUGGCGAACGGGUGAGUAAUACAUCGGAACGUGUCCUGGAGUGGGGGAUAGCCCGGCGAAAGCCGGAUUAAUACCGCAUACGAUCUUGGGAUGAAAGCGGGGGACCGAAAGGCCUCGCGCUCAAGGGGCGGCCGAUGGCAGAUUAGCUAGUUGGUGGGGUAAAGGCCUACCAAGGCGACGAUCUGUAGCUGGUCUGAGAGGACGACCAGCCACACUGGGACUGAGACACGGCCUAUACUCCUACGGGAGGCAGCAGUGGGGAAUUUUGGACAAUGGGGGCAACCCUGAUCCAGCAAUGCCGCGUGUGUGAAGAAGGCCUUCGGGUUGUAAAGCACUUUUGUCCGGAAAGAAAACCUCCGUCCUAAUACGGUGGGGGGAUGACGGUACCGGAAGAAUAAGCACCGGCUAACUACGUGCCAGCAGCCGCGGUAAUACGUAGGGUGCAAGCGUUAAUCGGAAUUACUGGGCGUAAAGCGUGCGCAGGCGGUUCGCUAAGACCGAUGUGAAAUCCCCGGGCUUAACCUGGGAACUGCAUUGGUGACUGGCGGGCUAGAGUAUGGCAGAGGGGGGUAGAAUUCCACGUGUAGCAGUGAAAUGCGUAGAGAUGUGGAGGAAUACCGAUGGCGAAGGCAGCCCCCUGGGCCAAUACUGACGCUCAUGCACGAAAGCGUGGGGAGCAAACAGG